rnacentral:rRNA from 1 species
GACGAACGCUGGCGGCGCGCCUAACACAUGCAAGUCGAGCGGAGAUAUAUGAAGAGUAAUCCGAAUAUAUCUUAGCGGCGGACGGGUGAGUAGCGCGUGAGUGACCUGCCUCUUACAGGGGAAUAACGUGCCGAAAGGCACACUAAUACCACAUAAGACCACGAAGUCGCAUGGUUUUGAGGUCAAAGGAGCAAUCCGGUAAGAGAUGGGCUCGCGUCCGAUUAGAUAGUUGGUGAGGUAACGGCCCACCAAGUCGACGAUCGGUAGCCGACCUGAGAGGGUGAUCCCCCACACUGGUACUGAGACACGGACCAGACUCCUACGGGAGGCAGCAGUGAGGAAUAUGGUCAAUGGG